rnacentral:tRNA from 11 species
GGGGCAUUAGCUCAGCUGGGAGAGCGCUACACUGGCAGUGUAGAGGUCAGCGGUUCGAACCCGCUAUGCUCCACCA